UACGUAGGCAGCGAGCGUUGUUCGGAAUUACUGGGCGUAAAGAGUGUGUAGGCGGUGCUCCCAGUCUGUUGUGAAAAUCUCCCGGCUUAACUGGGAGGGUGCAGCGGAAACGUAGAGUGCUAGAGGGUGGGAGAGGUAAGCGAAUUCCUGGUGGUAGCGGUGAAAUGCGUAGAUAUCAGGAGGAACACCUGUGGUGUAGACAGCUUACUGGACCACUUCUGACGCUGAGACACGAAAGCGUGGGUAGCAAACAGG
rnacentral:rRNA from 1 species